AACGUGCAAAAGGGUCAAAACCGUGGCCGCCGCGCCAACCCUUCUCGUCAGGCCCGCGCCCCCUCCGCCUCGUCUCCUCCCUGCUCCCUCCUCUCCCACGUCGCCGCCCUCGAGCCCCCUCCACCUCGUUUCCUCCCUGCUCCCUCCUCUCCAACGCCGCUGCCCUCGAUGCGCCGUCAGGGAUGCCAUCAGCCCGAGCCUAGGAGAAGACCACUCCUAAUCUUACUCGCCCACAUGGCCUCGCCACCGCUGCCGCCUGGAUUUGCUAGCCGCCGCAUGGAGUCACCCUGGCCGCCGGGUGGAGUCGCCCUGGCCGCCGCCGAGAGUCAGCUCCACCAUUACCCCCAGGAAUCCAGUCCCGGCAAGGUAACUUCCUUCGAAUCCCUGCUCUCCCUGGUCCUCCUGCCCUGCUUGCUGCAUGUGUGUUGUGUGCGUUUGGCCACUCCUCGAGCAAGCUCAAGUCCGUCGACUUUUACAGGUACCAUCUUCCUCCCUUCCGAUCUUCAGAUCUCCAUAUUUGGUGACUGCGGUGUUUUGAUUUCGUUGGAUUACUAUCUGUAUUUGGGGAUUAGCUAUGAAUUGAUGUUUUUACUUUGAGCAUGGAUAGUCGGCAGUACUGAUUUAGGUCUUUUUGUAGAACAGAAUGAUUAGCUCGUCUAUUUCUGGAGAACUGCACUAUAGAUGAUAUAUUUAUGAACGAUCUUAACACUGAAAAUGCAAAAAUUACGGUAUGGUCUAAUGAUAGUCGGUGGGUGUGACUUUUUUGCUGGCAUUGUCCAGUGCAGUUUUUGGAUCUCUACUGAGUUGUACAGUGUUUUGAGAUUUGUUUUUGUGUUAUGCCAUCUGCAGGAAAAUUCCCAGGGAUUUGAUUGACGGAGGCAUCACUAUUUGACGUUGGAUUAUCCAUUUUUGCAACACUAGCAAUGUUGUUUUUGUUUGGAAUGGCCAGUUCUCAAUUUCUAUUCUGUUAUCAACGAUACUGUACUUCUUGUCAGGUUACAUUAUCUUACUUGGUUUCAGUCUAUAUGUAGCACAAAAAUAGGUAACAUGGUUAUUUUCAUGCUCGAUUUGGUUUGUAGGUUACACUAAGGAACACCAUCAUAAGGAAAAGGGCAUUGCACUGCAUUGUUUAUAAUUGGCCUGUUACUAUUCGGUCUGCUGUAGUACUUAAUUGCUACACCACUUCAAGUUAUGUAGUCUAAAAUAAUCCUUUCAAAUGAACUUUUUUAAUUGAUAUUCAGAGCAUCAACAUGGUGGACUAGAUUAUGAAAUCAACUAUGAUCAUGAGAACUUGAAGCUAUUUGUUGACUAAAUUGUCAAUUGUUUUGCGUGAAUUGAAACUGGCAGUGUGAUGACAUUACUGUAGAUGCUUUGCUAUAUACAUUUGCCUAAUCCUAUCUCUCUCUCUAAUAUGCUCUCUUUUGUGAAGAUCCUUUGCAGAUCAAUUGGUGAGGCAGAAUGCUAAGCAUCGUUUCACAUUCAGGUUUGCUAUCAAACUCUCAAAAAGGAAAAACAACUUUACUCUGUUUUUUGGAGAACCUUCCUGUAGAGUACCUUGACAGAGACAAAUAUGCGGUCAAGGAUAUAUUCGAUGGAUUUUCACGCAAAAUUUGGAGGAUAUUUUUGCAGGUUCGUUGCUUGCUUUAUUGUUCUCUUACUUUCCGUUCUUCAAGACAAUAUCUUCCUAGCAUUGCUCUAUAAAUUUAAAUCCAUAUUUUUGUUCUUUGGAUCAUCAUGGCGUACUCGUCCUGUAUAAUCCAAGAAAGGGCCUUCUUGUUUGCAGAUAGUUUGGUGCUCUCAUGGUUAUUUUGUACUGAUUUUCCUUCUGUUCAUUACUUGGUAACCAUCUACGGCAGCUCAGCUAUUGUCCAGCUGCUGACCUUGGCCUUUCAAUCUCACUGUGAUUCCCCGAGAUGCGCUAUUAGUAGGCAUCCACUUUGUAAUAAAAAUUUGGCAGUCAACUUGAAACGGGUCAUUUAUCUAGCUACAGCAACCUUCCUUGCUUUUGCAAAUAAUACUGUAUGGUUGACACUAUAGUCUAUACCUGCCAAAUAUUUACACGUUAGUAUAGCCAGAAAGUUAGAUGAUCGUUCCAUGUUGGUUAGGCGUGAUAAAUCAAAUUUCUAGAGUAGCAGAUGAUUCGUGUCAGGUUUCUUUUAGAGAUUGAAAUAUGUCUUGACUCUGAAAUUAGUAGUACAGUGUCCAGUUCUCCAUAGGUGAAAGCAUACUAUGCAAAACUGGACGGCCUUCUAAAGCUCUAAAACUACUAUUUGUUGUGUAAUCUGUAUCCCUUUUUCAUACUUUGUAUAUGCUUUCUACUUACUAGAAAAAAAUGCGUGAGAACGAUGGCCUAGAGGAUGUGAAUUGCACUCAAAUAUAUGCAGGUUUCUUGCCAAACUAACUGCCACUAUUGUAUUUUAGGUGCUUCUUCUGUAACUUAGUGUAUUUUGCUGGCUCGUCUCAUUUCCUGGCGAACUUUUUAGUAUGUACAAUUGAAUCAUUGGAAGUUGUUUUCUACUAUCUAGAGGUUUUAUCCAAACUAUUAGCUGCCGGAUUUGCUUUUUUGAAAUACACUAACCUGAUAGACCAAGUGGACCAACACAUUUCCAUGGGAUUUUAGAAAAAUAUAUGUGAAUUUGCAUACAUUUUCUAAAUUUCUAUCUUUUCUUAUCCAUGCUUCCCCAUAGAUAUAUAGCAGGCUCAACAAAAAUAUAUGUCCGCUUAUGUUCAAAUUUCAAGGAAGUGUGCUUCACACUUCUCUUUCUGCAAUAUGUUUCAGAGUAUAUGAUUUAAUUUUCCUACUUUUCCAGUUAAAAUACUGUGUACUUCAUUCUUAGCUUUGCUUUAGGAAAAAUAGGUAUGUAUGUUAUCGAAAGCUCCAUUUUUCACCAUUAUAUAGAUUAUAUAGCUUUGUGGUCGAAGGUAGGUUGUCACAUAUGGGAUGUUGCUUGUGAAAGUUAUAUACAGCCAUGAGUCCCUGACAAAAUAAUCGUAGCUCAUAUUAUUAGGAUCAGGGAACCUCGACCAUUUUUCUGAAACAUGUCGCAGCUCAUGUUCCUACUUUCCCAGCUACAGUAUGUACUUCAUUCUUACCUUUGCUUUUGGAAGUUACAUUGCUUUCUUUUCCCUCAUAAACUUGCUAACGAUAUUGGCGAAGUAAUCCCCACUUCAGAUUUCCCAUUGAAUGAAUAACUAAUUUAGUUUGUUCAAAAAUUGUAGGUCAAGAGCCAUGAAUAGGAGCAAGGCAUCACACUCCAGCUCUGAGAAGAAAAGGAUAUGAAGACAAAGAUAUCAGUGUUCUGCUCCGAAACAAAAACAUUUUGCGUGUAAUAAUGACCUGUAAUUUACCACAAUCUCUAAAACAGGCCUACCUACUUGCUUUUGUAUUAGGAAGUAUGACUCAGUCAUAUAUAUUUACAUUCACGUUGUUUAGUUAUGGUUUGUAUGCAUGAAAAUACCGUUUUAAAUGAGCCUGAAAAUUCUUAUUUUCAGUGAAAUUGUAUCUACCACUUUGUAAAGAACGAAUGAAACACAUUUCAAAUAACUCUUUAUUCUA